GACGAACGCUGGCGGCGUGCUUAACACAUGCAAGUCGAAUGGAAAGGCCCUGCUUUUGUGGGGUGCUCGAGUGGCGAACGGGUGAGUAACACGUGAGUCACCUGCCCUUGCCUUUGGGAUAACUUCAGGAAACUGGGGCUAAUACCGGAUAGGAGCUCCUGCUGCAUGGUGGGGGUUGGAAAGUUUCGGCGGUUGGGGAUGGACUCGCGGCUUAUCAGCUUGUUGGUGGGGUAGUGGCUUACCUAGGCUUUGACGGGUAGCCGGCCUGAGAGGGUGACCGGCCACAUUGGGACUGAGAUACGGCCCAGACUCAUACGGGAGGCAGCAGUGGGGAAUAUUGCACAAUGGGCGGAAGCCUGAUGCAGCAACGCCGGGUGCGGGAUGACGGCCUUCGGGUUGUAAACCGCUUUCGCCUGUGACGAAGCGGGAGUGACGGUAAUGGGUAAAGAAGCACCGGCUAACUACGUG
rnacentral:rRNA from 1 species